rnacentral:antisense_RNA from 1 species
UUGCUCUGCGAAACCUCUGUAUAUGAAAAGUUGGCCCUCCAUGUACAUGGGUUUCCCAUCCUGUCAUAGAAUUUUCCACACUCCUUGACGGAGGUUCUUAACCCUUAUCCAUCAGCAUUCUCAGACAGCACCUCCGGUUAGGGACAGUAUCUGACCGUCCGACAUCCCUGCAGCCCCCAUGCUGUCACACAGACUCAGCCUCAGGUAGAUGGUUUCCGUAGAUGGUGGCUUUCUUUGGACCCUUGAUAUCAACCAGUUACUAUUUGACUCUUCUGCAGAACCCCAUGUUGACCCCUGCUUUGAGGUGGCAGCGUUAACACUACUCUUUGUUAUAAGCUCUCGUCUGGGGCAACUCAGGAGAACGGGACCAGAUGUGCAGAGGUAAUGAAUACCAGGGAAUCAGGAAACCACUGGAUCAGUUCUUUGAGCCAUAGAACAACACUCAUCCCAGCAGCUGGGAAGCUAUCUGCAAAAGUCCAUCUGCAGAAAGGGCUUCCUGGUCUUGCGUGUGGCUGGGCCAUUUCUCUGGAUGCAGGUUUUUCAUUAUACAGUCUUCUCAAAGGACCACCUGCUCUCAACACCUUCUCGGUGACUCCAUUUCCCCUCCUCU